GUGACCUCNAAUCAGGUAGGACUACCCGCUGAACUUAAGCAUAUCANUAAGCGGAGGAAAAGAAACUAACA
rnacentral:rRNA from 1 species